CCUACUAUUUUCUUACAUGAUUUUCAGUUCAGCUGCUACUCAGUUUUCUCUUCUUUUUCUCCAUUUCAACUUCUACAUUUGUUUAUCUUUUGAUUUUGAGGAACUGAAAACUGCAUCUUCAUUCUUACAAUUGGUUGUAUUUAUUUUAAUGAAAGAUCCAUUAAAAUAUAUUUCAUUCUCCAGCUUGAGAUCAAACUUGGCUAACAUGCAAGAGAAAUUGGUUCGGUUCACUGCAUAUUCGAGUAAGCAACCUUGUUCCGCUCCAACACUAGAGAACCCAUUUCAUCGUUUCCUUGAUUCCUGAAAAAGGAAAGAUGCAUUCAGUAAAUGAAUGAACGAAUGCUAAUUACUGAGAUGGUCCAGCAUCUUUGUCACAAUACUCUUCAAAGAAAUAUUAUGUGUUAUGAGUAUGUCCAUAUGUCUCUUUGUUAACUAAGUUCCAAGCAUCAGGUUUAUGAUUUAGUAUUGAGUUGUGGGAUUCGAUAUUGCGAGAAAUGCAUGUUCUAGGGAGGGAUGAGCGAGCGUAAUUUGGAAGCAGCGAACGAUGAUAGCCAGAGGGCUGCGAAAGGAUGUAUAUUACUUUGGCACUUCUUGAAUUACUUCACAAUAUUCAGAAAAGUAAGAUUUUUCCACCUUUUGGAUCUUUUACAACUCAAAGUGAUAUAUAUGUUAUCAUCUAUACGAUUGGAUAAUUUGACAAUUGAACAUUAUUUCGAAGCUUGCUCUUUUAUGACACCAAAAGGACGAGGAAAAGAAAAGGACCUAUGAAACUCUUAAAAGAAAAGGCCAACAUGAAGUUGGUUCGAAGCGGGGCCAUGUAAUAUAGUUUGCAAUGCUUUGUAAUGUUUCAUACGAGUAAAUAUUAUAUGUUCCACAUAAAAAUUUUAUAUUAUAUGCUCGAAGCUUUCCAUUUG